UCCGGUUUGUCACCGGCAGUCUCCCUAGAGUUCCCACCAUUAUGUGCUGGCAACUAGGGACAAGGGUUGCGCUCGUUGCGGGACUUAACCCAACAUCUCACGACACGAGCUGACGACAGCCAUGCAGCACCUGUCACUCGGUUCCCGAAGGCACCAAAGCAUCUCUGCUAAGUUCCGAGGAUGUCAAGGCCAGGUAAGGUUCUUCGCGUUGCAUCGAAUUAAACCACAUGCUCCACCGCUUGUGCGGGCCCCCGUCAAUUACUUUGAGUUUUACCGUUGCCGGCGUACUCCCCAGGCGGUCAACUUAAUGCGUUAGCUGCGUCACCGAGUGGCUGACCCUCCCGACGACUAGUUGACAUCGUUUACGGCGUGGACUAC
rnacentral:misc_RNA from 1 species